AACCUAUGAAAUGAUUCAGUCUUUUUUUCUGGUUUUCAACUUUAGUUGAGGCAACAAGAAGAUCUGAAAGCUGAAGGAUCAUCUUGUCCAGCUCAUUACCAAAAGAUAAUGAACCGUCUCAUCAAGAGAUACAUCUUAAAAGCACAGAGAGAUAAUGACCAUCAUGACGUUAAUGAAGGUGAACUGAGCAUGAUCAAACAGGACAUCUCCAUGCUCCGCCGCCAAGUCCUGCAGAGAGGAAACCCUGAUGUGGAGACUCUGUCGGAGCUUGUCAGGAAGCUAGGACAAGUCAGCAGCAGAAAGUGAGAACAGAAAA